rnacentral:rRNA from 1 species
AGUGAACGCUGGCGGUAGGCCUAACACAUGCAAGUCGAACGGCAGCACAGUAAGAGCUUGCUCUUACGGGUGGCGAGUGGCGGACGGGUGAGGAAUACAUCGGAAUCUACUUUUUCGUGGGGGAUAACGUAGGGAAACUUACGCUAAUACCGCAUACGACCUACGGGUGAAAGCAGGGGAUCUUCGGACCUUGCGCGAUUGAAUGAGCCGAUGUCGGAUUAGCUAGUUGGCGGGGUAAAGGCCCACCAAGGCGACGAUCCGUAGCUGGUCUGAGAGGAUGAUCAGCCACACUGGAACUGAGACACGGUCCAGACUCCUACGGGAGGCAGCAGUGGGGAAUAUUGGACAAUGGGAGCAAGCCUGAUCCAGCCAUACCGAGUGGGUGAAGAAGGCCUUCGGGUUGUAAAGCCCUUUUGUUGGGAAAGACAAGCAGCAGGUUAAUACCCCGCUGUUCUGACGGUACCCAAAGAAUAAGCACCAGCUAACUUCGUG